AACGAACGCUGGCGGCAUGCCUAACACAUGCAAGUCGAACGAGACCUUCGGGUCUAGUGGCGCACGGGUGCGUAACGCGUGGGAACCUGCCCUUAGGUUCGGAAUAACUCCCCGAAAGGGGUGCUAAUACCGGAUAAUGUCUUCGGACCAAAGAUUUAUCGCCUUUGGAUGGGCCCGCGUUGGAUUAGCUAGUUGGUAGCGUAAAAGCCUACCAAGGCGACGAUCCAUAGCUGGUCUGAGAGGAUGAUCAGCCACACUGGGACUGAGACACGGCCCAGACUCCUACGGGAGACAGCAGUGGGGAAUAUUGGACAAUGGGCGAAAGCCUGAUCCAGCAAUGCCGCGUGAGUGAUGAAGGCCUUAGGGUUGUAAAGCUCUUUUACCCGGGAUGAUAAUGACAGUACCGGGAGAAUAAGCCCCGGCUAACUCCGUG
rnacentral:rRNA from 1 species